AUCACUUGGAUCAGGCACGUCUUAUCAGGCAUUGCUUUAUAAAACUUGUUGUUUUUUUUACAUUAUGAAUGAGGAUUUAGUAAUAAAAAACAACAAAAUAUUUAUAGAUUUAUUAAAGUAUGUUGAUACAAAGUCAAGUUCUCUAUCUUCAGUAAAGCGGACCCUUCUAAAAGUAGGCCAAUUUGUUUACUAAUGAAUGUGUCCUAGAAUGAAGUGACAACAUACUACAAUAUUGAGAUACAACAUCACAACAUUUUUGUGUCGUUAGCAUGUUUCUAAUUGUCUUGAUAUACUUCUCAGGACUAAUUGGAACGACGAUUUGGAGAUUUGGUUUGUUACAACAGUUUCUUUCGUAUUUUUUCUAGUUGGCUAAUAUAAUCGUCAUGACAGUCUCAGUCCAGGUUGCCUCAGCCAUCAUCUUGUUGGUCAGCGUGGUGUCCUCCAAACCAGCCUUGAAAGUAGUCCGACGUGACGCGGAACCAGACACUAGCGGACACAUGAAUCUCAGAGCUCAGUUGAUAGAGGAAGAGAUGAAGCUCCGUCUUGGCGGGAACCUGGUUCUGAACGAACAGGAGCAAAUGGUGAACAGGCUGUUGCUGAAGGAAAAGAGAGCCAUUAUAGAAAGGAGUCGUCUUAACAAAACUACAUAUUAUCCUGCCUUAAGCUUCUACAAAUCUAAAAAAUUUGUGGAGUCCACCAACAUUUAUCAGAUCAUUAAAAAAAUGCC
rnacentral:sRNA from 1 species